CGCACACCAGUCCGCCAUCUUUCUUACCUUUUUGAUUGUUGACUUCAUGACUUGUAAAUUUUGUAAUUAGUUUUUGCCGACGUCCACCGUGCCGUUUUUUAAGUAAUUUUUGGUAUUUUACAAAUUGUGUUACUUUAGUGGACACGUGGAGACAUGGACGCUGACUGUUGGAAGAAUUCGUCAAUUCAGACUGGCGCAAAGAGCUAUCAGGGCGCGAUGCCAGGAAUUUCAUUGCGAGACAGAAUUCGAAAUGAGGAUAUUCGCCAACGCAAUAAAGUUACCGACAUUGCAAAAAGGAUUAACUCAAGUGGGAAUGGACCGGCUAUAUUUUUCGCAGAGAUGACGAUCAAUGGGGUCGCCUAGUAUUGCUGUGGAGACCUAGCCUGGGUGGCCGAGGUGGCGGGAAACCACGAGCAGAUGGUCGGAUGACAUCAAAAAAGGGCAGGGCCCACCUGGCACAGAACCGUCACAUAUAGAACGGAGUGGAAACCCACGGAAUGCAGACCAGGAUUAUAUACUUUAGGUAUGAGUUUGUUACUUUUGCUCAUAAUAACAUGGAGUAUGUCACAGCUGCUCCACGGGCUGCAUUGAGGGGCAACAGGAGCGAAAAUGUUAAAAUGGAAAGGAGCUCCCCCUUUCAAUUAGGGAAUCUUAGGAUAUGCUAAGGCAAACAGAAGGAGGCAAGGAACGGACUGCAUCAAUUGCUGUCUGGAACCAAUCUUGUGGGAUGACUUCUGGACAGGGAAAAACAAUUUCAUCAUCUACCCUAAUACUGACGAAUGUUCUAAAACGUGCUGUAAGGCAGACAUUUCCAAAUGUAACGGAGGAAAGUUUCGAGACAUGUAAUGGUUUCAACACGCUGCUGAGACCCAACUCAAGAGACGUCAGUUUGUACUGUUUAGUCCAUUCUCUAUUGGGCAUGCUUGUAUUGAGAGGUAUAUAUAUUGGAGUAUAGACAUGAUGUUUGGUAUGAGUAUUAUAUACAUCCUUUUGAGUCAAAUAGGACCGGUAGCCACUUUGAACUCCGUGUCCGAAAGGGUCAAAGUAUGGAGCUCCCGGUACUCAGAAAAAAAAUUCUGGCCUAUUUUGAACUUUCGAGUCAAGUUUGGUGUCAUUUUUAAACAGUUCGCUUCGUUUUUAAAUUGAAGAAGAUUAAAAAUCACAGUAAUAUUAUAAAGGCAAAAGUUUGUGAGCAUACCGUGUUUGUUACUUCCUCACGCCACGCCCAAGUGCCUUAACAAAUAUUAUUUAUAAAAUUAAGUAUGGAGGAAGUACGAUAUACCCUAAGUUAACACGUCGCUUCUUCUUGAUCGUGGGUAACACUCGGGGCGCAGUAUAAUGAUUAUUAAAAAUCUUUAUGCUGUCCCCUAUGCUGCGAUGGCGAUCGUUGCAGUACUUUCAAUAUUUUUUUUACAUCAAAUAUUAGAAUCAUCAAAGAUUACUAAUAAAAUAGGCUUUUUAGAAAUAUUUUUUAAAAAUCAUGAUUAGUAUAAAAAUACGGAAAUAUGAGGAUUUGUUUGCAUUUCGUGGCUACUAAAAAUUCAUUAUUAAUAAAUAUUGUGCUAUAUUUUGCUAUGGAACCCUAAAAAAGUAGUUACAUAAAAAUGACACUAAAAUUGACUCAAAGCUCAAACUAAUCGGCCAGAAUUUUUUUCUGAGCAGCAGGAGCUCCAUACUUUGAACCCCUCUCCCCCCUUCGGACACGGAGUUCAAAGUGGCUACCGGUCUUGUUUGACUCGGGAGGACGUGUAUAAUACCCAUGUAGAUGUAGAUGUAGUGUAGGGACGCCUGGCCGGAUACAGGCGGGCUGUCGAUCGCUGGUGCGUUCAUUCAGCCCAAUUCCCUGGAGUUGGAGCUGCAGGUUACUGUCCCGGCUGCCCUCCCACACUUCUCUCCUCAAAUCUUCUUGUUUUCCUGCAGAACAUAAUACCCAUACUAAACGCCAAUGCUCUACUCAAAAAUUCACUUUUUCCCAAUAGAGAACGGACUGUGUUAGACAGUGCAUGUUGUUACACGGUACAUUUUUCUAGAAGACCAAAUUUAUAAGUUCCUUAGUUAUUCUAUUUUUAACUAAAUAAGUUCUUGUACUAUAAGCAGUAAUCGGAAUAGGCAGAGUAGAUAUAUUUAUUUUUAAACGAAAUGACUUCCUUGCGAUAGUAUUUUUUCAGUACAGAUGGUAUUUUUUUUACGCACUAGUGCGAGAAGUGGUUCAUUAUACGCCAGGUCGAAACUUCGGA